ensembl:lncRNA LINC00174 long intergenic non-protein coding RNA 174
ACCUCAAGUGAUCCACCUGCCUCCCAAAGUGGGAUUACAGAUACAUGAAGUUAUGAAUUUAAGAUGUGAAGAUUUACAGCUUGAUAAACCAGCUUCAGGAGACAUGAUCUUAUGAAUUCAACACAUGAAGAUUUACAACUUGAUAAACCAGCUUCAGGAGGGAUUGUGCUGCAUUCUGACUUGGAUUCUGCCAUCGAACACAGAAUGCCCUGAUCCUUAGAUGCAGAGGCAGCUCUUCAGCCUAUGGGGGCUGCUGUAAAAUAUUACAGGCAUACUUUGGAGAUGUUACGGGUUUGGUUCCACAUCACUGCAAUAAAGCCUUCCAGAUAUACAGUCAUAUUUCUUAUAUUACACGACUCCAGCGGGAGGAAGAAGAGGCCUUUGCCAGCAGUCAGAGCAGCCAAGGGGCCCAAUCCCUCACAUUCUCCAAGUUUGAAGGAAAGAAAACCAACGAGAAGACCCGCAAGAUUACCACAGUGAAGAAAUCUUCAGUACGUCUUCCAGGGUCGGAUCAAAGAAGGUGCCUCCAGAAUGAGUUGAGAAGAUAAAUGGAUCAGAUUGAAAAGUACAUCAUGACUCAUCUCUAUAAAUAUGUGUUCUGUCCAGAAACUACUGAUGAUGAGAUGAAAGAUCUUGCCAUUCAAAAGAGGAUCAGAGUGGAAGCUGCUCUGUGGUGUCAGAAAGACAAGGAAUGUGGUGACCUCACCUAUCCAUCUCCCUCAAGGCAGCUUUUGAGCCCUUCACUGGGUUACACCUCAGAUGCUGUGUGUCCCUGUUAAUGAAGACAUCCCAGAAGUGUCUGAUACGGUGUUGAAGGCAAUCACAGGGAUUGUGCUGCAUUCUGACUUAGAUUCUGCCAUCAAAAACAGAAUGCCCUGAUCCUUAGAGGCAGAGGCAGCUCUUCAGCCUAUGGGCUUAAGCUCUUGGACUCACUGAGGCAGUAAAAGAACCAUAUCCUGUGUUUGAAUCAAACCCCGAGUUCCUGUAUGUUUAGAAGGUUUGCCAGACAGGAUUCC